UGGUGUAUAUCUGGUUUAAUAUUAUUGUUUAAUAACUGAAUUUGUGUAUAUUUAUUUAAGCCAAGUCUAUGUGCUGCUUGUAAAAGAUUUCAUGCGUUACAUUUAUAUUUAUAAAUUAUGAGAAUUUAAUUUUUAAUUAAGACUUAAAAGUAAUAUAAAAUGAUUUUGUCUAUGUGAAAAAGGUUUAUCUCAUGUACACACAAC
rnacentral:rRNA from 1 species